UAUUUUUGUAAUUUUGUAAUAAUAAUUCUGCGAACCCUAAUAUCUACACCCGAAUUGCUGCUGCUGCCGAUUACAAAACCUUUGCUACUUCGUUCUGGCUUUGCCGCUUUACUGCCGCCUGCCUUCUUUCUUUGCUUCCUUCUGGCUUCUCGAUCUAGCAGCCAUCGCUGCUUCCUUCCAGUUUGAAAGCGUCUCCAGUCCACGGUUGCUGCCGCUGCCGUUUCCUUCUGACUUCAAAAUCCAGCUGCCACUACUGCCGUGGUGCAUGGUGGUGGUGAGAGAGGAAGCUCAGGGGAUCAAUUUAGAUAGCGGAAAGACGGAGGAGAAGGUUGUUGACUCUGCUAUGGUCACUGGUCACCGAGCACUCUAAGCCCUUCACCGUGUAUUGCAGCCUACAAUUUGCAGGUAAUCUAAGCCCCUCACCGAGUGACUGUGCUGACUCUAAUGCUUUUCUUUUAUUCUAUUUUUGUUGCCGACUUGCCGUAAAAUUACUUUCUGUUGCAUGUUUUGGACCCUCGAGAUGUUAGUUUGAAGCAUUCCUUUUAUCAAUUUCUUAUUAAAAUUAUGAAAUUGAACUAUGUUCUCAAGUUGUUGUAGAAAUGUGUCACUGCCAAGCUGGGUUAGAAUAUUUCUCUUUAUUUGCAAUAAACGGAAUCUCACAUAAUUUUGAAUUUUGCAACCCACAUUUCAAAUAAAUAAACAAUAGGAUUCAGAAUAUUGGGACAACCUUGGAAACUUGUUGCUAAUUGAUUUGAAGAAUAUUAACAUUUAGAAGAAUAUUAGAAUUUUGUAUUUUAUUGAACUUUUGAUUAAUCAAGUUAAAAUUUUAUUUUUAGAAUAUUGGAGUUCAUUCUAUUAAUACAUCAAAAUCUAAUUCACUGAGAAAUAUGAUUUUAUUUUUGGGUUUGUACACACUUGUUACACAAAUUUGAGCUCCAUUAUGCGCGGAGAAUAUAUACAAUCUACUUGCUGUUUUUUAUGUAUAUUUUUUGUUCGCAGACAAAGUGUGUAUGAUUUUGUUCUGUGCAUUCAAUAAAAAUAAAAAUAGUGAAAAAAUAAAUAUAUGUUUUUGCAGAGAGUAGAUUCCCCCAGCUUUAAUUGAUUCAUAUAUUAUCUUGAAUAAUUUUUAGUUCUUCCUGUUGGCCCUUUUGGUUUUGCCUGCACAAGAUCAUAAUGCUAUGAAAUCUGCAAUAUCUACUUGGUAUGAUUAUGUUCCGUUAAAAUUUUAUUAUAUUUUCCAUUAAAAAUUAUGUUUACUUAUUUCAAUUUGAUAUAUUAUUUUUAUAGUUAUAUUUAUGUUUAUUUAUUUCUAUUUUACUUGUGUAGAUUUAAGUCGUUUAUCUGAACCAUUAAGCGAACCGAAAUCGAACCGUUAAGGUGAACCAACACUAAACUAAAACUGAAUCGAACCGAAUUUGUCAGUUGUGGUUUGGUUUUCAUUUUUCGUAAAUGUCUUAUCGGUUUUUUUGAAUCACCAACCCAAAAUGAAUUGAAAAUUUCGCUUUAUCCCAAAACUGAACCAAGCCAAACUGAUGCUCACCCCUAAUAAUAAUAAGAAUAAUAAUAAGAAUAAUAAUAAGAAUAAGAACAUUGUCUUUGGCCAAGUGGCCAAGCUAUUGUGUGGGCAGCAGUUUGAGCUCCCAUAAAGCAUUGUGGGAGCUAAAUUCCUUCCUCAAUCAUACCAAACAAUUAAGUGGAUACCAAAUGUGAAUGGGUGGAUUGUUAAAUCCCACAAUCAUGCCCAUUCUUUUGCUUCGACACUCAAAUGCCACGGUUGGUUGGAAAGUGCAGGAAGUUCACGUGUUCUAUAUUGGUUGGCAUUUGGGGUUGGAGAAUCGAAUUUGGAGAAUGUAGUUGUUGGAAAUAUCGAAAACAAUGCCGAUUAUGGAUGUGAAUAUAACACAAUAUAGACGAAUAAUAAAAUGAACUAGACUGUUUGAUAUGACGUGAGUCAUAUAAAAUGUGUAGGGCAUGAUCGUGUUGUUUUCUAUUAUUGCGGGGACUAGGAAGAGGAUCUUGUAUCUCAGCACUUUUAUCUCUUAGAGUCGUGAUCAAAAGAAACUAAUGAGAUGAUUCAUUUGGAAAGUAAAUCUAUUAUAAUAGUUGUGAAUGUUUUAGAACAACUACACCACUAUAAAUUGUAAUAAUUAAGGGCUGAGAAAAUAACCUUUUGACACUUAUGAAACAAUCCUAGCACCCUUGUGAAACAAUCCACUUUGGCUCCAAUCGUAAGAAUUUAUUGCUACACAAAAUAAAGCCAUAAAUGUGAGCAAAUUAUCACUACUUAAACAAAACAAAAAAAAUGCAAAAAUUACCAGAGAUACUCAUAGAAUAUUUGGUUAGUAAAUACUAGUUGAUUGACAAAUUUUUUUUCUAUCGCCUGCUCAAUGAAAGUUAGGUAAUACGUUUUCAUGGAAAUAACCUAAACAUGAUCAAAUGAUUAAGAGAUUUAAUAUAGGACAAACAUAUAGUGUGACAUGAAUGAAUUUUAAAAGGGAUAUUAUCAUUUUACCACUAAAGUUAUUCUAAUAUAUCAUGUCAGUACCAUACUUUACUGAAAAGUGUAUUUUACCACUAAAUGUUUGCGUUGUUAUCAAUUUACCACUUUUCCGUUAGAAAAACGUUAAUGUUUAACAGAAAAUGAGUUAAAAGUUGAUUUUACCCCCAAGAGAAUAAAAGAUAAUUUGAGAAAAAAGAAACAAUGAAUAAAAAUAAGAUUUAGAAAACAACUAAAAAUAGUAAUUAAUAAAAAAUAAUGAAUAAUAUGAAGAAUUACGAUAAACGGCAAAGAACAAUUAAUGAAAAUUUAUGUUUCAAAAUUAAUAUUAUAACCUAUGAAAUUCAAGUAUUAAUCACAACUAAAAAAUAAUAACAAUUAAUAAGAUUUAAAAAACAAUUGAAAAUUCUAAUUAAUAAAAAUAAUGAAGAAUAUGCAAAAUUACAACAAAUGACCAAAAAAAUAUUAAAAAAUUUUGCUUUAAAAUUAUUAUUAUAAUCUAUGAAAUUCAAGUAUUAAUCACAACUAAAAACAAUAACAGUUUAAUUAAAGAACAAAAUUAAUGAGAGAGAGGGGUCGAUUUAGGGUUAUCAAUUUCCUAAUUAUUUCCCUUGAAUUUUUUACUUUGUUUUAUUGUUUAUUUUUCACUUAUAAUGGAGUGUUUUGGCUUCAAUAGGAAAUGUCUUUGAUACUCUUAUGACAUUAGCAAAACAUCAGUAAAUUUUUAACUUUUAUAACAGAAGGGUGGUAAAUUGAUAACAACGCAAACGUUUGGUGGUAAAAUGCACCUUUCGACAAACUGUGGUAUUGACAUGAUAUGUCAUAAUAACUUUGGUGGUAAAAUGAUAAUAUCUCAUUUUAAAAUCUCUCCACAUAGAUAUCCCUUGGGCAAAAGGCUCUAUAAAAAGUGUCGAUUUACAAGUUCACCGCAAAUAGAGAAAUAGGCAAUACUUUUGAGUAAUAAUUAAAAAAACCAUUUAAACCUAAUUUAAUGUAAAAGUACAAAAUUUAUUAGAUAAUUUGACACUUACCUUCCCUGAGCAUCUUUAUUAAAAGCAUAUUGAAUAAGCUUCAAAUGAUUAAGAGUAACAUGAUCGUUCACCUGAAACGGAAUUGCUUUGUACUUGAGAUUUGCUUCCCGUGACACCUGAUCGUAGGGUUAAAGUUGAUAUUGGCCUAGCCUACGAUUCCUAAUUCCUCUCAUUGGCAGUACACAGACACUAGUAGAUGUAUGAGGUUCUUGUCUAAGGUCAACUAAUUCAUCUAUAUCCUAUAUAAAAUUAAUUUGAAAUUAAAAGCAUUCAUUAUUGAAUAUGAUUAUGGAAAUGAAGUUUACAAAAUGAGAUUUCUCUUACCUCAUCUUGGAGAACAGGUGGUGGAAUGGGGAUAUAACUUCCACAAACUAGGAAGGUUCUUAAAGAAUUUCACCUACUACCUCGCUUGUCCUAGUUCGGGCCAUCAGUUAUCGAGGUUUAAUAUGCACUCCACAAAGUCCUCGUUACUGGUCAUAGGCAUUUAGUUUUUCCCAUCUGUGGUUGGUUGGGUUUUCCAAUUGGACAUGUAGGUUUUAAACUUUUGAAGGUCGGAGAUGGCGAUGGAACAAAUGGUUAUUUUUAUGGUGCCCUAACAGGAUAGUUUGAUUUCAAUUCCUCCUCCAAAGACGUAUUAACCUUUUUUAUUCUCAUAUUAAAUUAUUUUAUUUUGUGUUCAAUUCUUUAGACUGACCCUGUAAGACCCUAAAGGCCAUUUCCAGAUUUACAACACUUAGCCUAGUAUGUUUAGAAUGAAAGAAGUGACUGCGGAGUUUAAAAAAAUUUGCUUCUAAGACUUAAAAUAAUUUAGAACAAUAAUUAUACAUACCGACAAUAGAAACACAUAUAAUUUGUUCUUAAAAUUGUGAAUACAUGCAUUAAAAAGACGAAGAAUAAUACAAAUCUCACUACUUGUGGUGUCCUCAAACUCUUUUUACCAUUUCAAGAAUUGGCGAAUCUUUUCCUUUGUCCAUGCACUAACAAGACAUAUUGUUCUAUUGAUAGAAAAACGAUUAUCCAGAAUAGCAGUGAAGUAGAACAAAAGUUCAUAACAAUAUCAAUAUUAUGUCAUAUUAUUUUUUCAUAUUGAUUCAAAGCUUAAUCAAGUUAACAAGUUAAUCGAAAAUAAAAUGUCCGGUCUAGUACAUUGUGCUAAAUACAUCAGAGUACUAAUUGUAUAUAGACAUGAUAUUUCAAGACCAAGUAUCUAUUUAUCAUCCUCUUUAGGAUCAAACAUAUCUUUUUUAGGUUAAAGAGACCGAACUAUUAUAGGGGCACUCGAUGG
rnacentral:lncRNA from 1 species